rnacentral:rRNA from 1 species
GACAGAGGGUGCAAACGUUGUUCGGAAUUACUGGGCGUAAAGAGCGCGUAGGCGGUCCGGUAAGGCCGCUCUGAAAGCCCGAGGCUCAACCCCGGGAGGCGGGCGGAUACUGUCGGGCUAGAGUCCGGAAGAGGCGAGUGGAAUUCCUGGUGUAGCGGUGAAAUUCGUAGAUAUUCGGAAGAACACCAGUGGCGAAGGCGGCUCACUGGACUGGUAUUGACGCUGAGGUGCGAAAGCGUGGGGAGCAAACAGG